rnacentral:rRNA from 1 species
CCUACGGGAGGCAGCAGUGAGGAAUAUUGGUCAAUGGGCUUACGCCUGAACCAGCCAAGUCGCGUGAGGGAAGACUGCCCUAUGGGUUGUAAACCUCUUUUGUCAGGGAGCAACGCCGGCUACGUGUAGCCGGACUGAGAGUACCUGAAGAAAAAGCAUCGGCUAACUCCUUGCCAGCAGCCGCGGUAAUACGGAGGAUGCGAGCGUUAUCCGGAUUUAUUGGGUUUAAAGGGUGCGUAGGCGGAAUGCCAAGUCAGCGGUAAAAUCGCGGGGCUCAACCUCGCUCCGCCGUUGAAACUGGCGGUCUUGAGUGGGCGAGAGGUAUGCGGAAUGCGUGGUGUAGCGGUGAAAUGCAUAGAUAUCACGCAGAACUCCGAUUGCGAAGGCAGCAUACCGGCGCCCAACUGACGCUGAGGCACGAAAGCGUGGGUAUCGAACAGGAUUAGAUACCCCUGUAGUC